GUUGUUUUUAUGGUGUUAAUUUAUCAGAGUUAAAAAGUGUUGAUUCUGGUGUUGAUUUGAAUGGCAUUAACACUUGCAGUGUAAAUCAGUGGUCGGAGUCAGUGUAAUUACAGCGAGUUGACAUAAUUGACACUGGUGAUGAGUUGAUCCAAUUUCCGGUCCUUGCACAUUAUUUCCUUUUUGAUUAAUGGCGGACGACCACGAGGAGAGGACUGUUCAAACGGGUAUAAUAUUUUAUAACCACUUAAAUUGACCAAUUUUCAUGUUUAGUUUACGUUUCUCACCAUUCAGAAUAAUAUUAGUACAUUUCUCAAUAUUGCCAGAGUGCUAACAUUAUUUCUUUUCAGAUAACGCGACAGACCACCGACAGGAUAUCGAGGCCAUUUAGCUGCAACACUUGUUAGCAAGCAAAUUGAGCUUUCAUGUUCAUCAAGGCGUGAAGAAAUUUGUAAAACUGCACAGCGAUAGUAGGUUCCAAGACUUUCUCACUGAAGUCCUGCACCAGUAUUGAAGGCCAUCUCAGCAGGAGGGAGGGCCACCAGCCAUUCCUACUGAGAUCAGGAAGGAUUAAGGGCAGGAUCAACCACUUUUACGUCGUUGUGGACAAGCGCCUCAUCCCUUGUGUUGGAACCAGCUCCUUGAGUGCCUCUGAACUUUUUAAAGUUCACUAUGUCUUCAACCUGUCCUACGAGGAAGCCCUGGUGUCAAAAGCCAACAGCUUGUUCUACAGGCCUUUUGAUCUGCAGUAUUUAUAUGGGUCAGAUGAUGGUGAAUAUAUUGUAUCUUUUGUGUUGGUGUAAUAGUUACAUCUAUGUUAAAAAUAAAAUUUCAAACUGAUACAGCGUGUUGACUUUUUUUUUUAUUUUUUACACCGAAUGCACAGGUAUUUUUAGUCGAAUACAGAUUACACUUAAUUACCUCAAUCAGGGUUUGUAUGAACACUAUAUUAGUGUGGAAAUAAGUCUCUUGGUGUUAAGAUAUUGACACACGUAGUGUAGUUUCAACACUAACUUGGUGUAAAUGAGGGGGAGGGAAAACACUAAUGGUGUUAAUGGUGAACACUUACAGUGUUGUUU
rnacentral:lncRNA from 1 species